rnacentral:rRNA from 1 species
UACAGAGGGGGCAAGCGUUGUUCGGAAUUACUGGGCGUAAAGGGCGCGUAGGCGGUUUCGUAAGUCCUGUGUGAAAUCCCCCGGCUCAACUGGGGAACUGCACAGGAAACUGCGAGGCUUGAGUUCGGGAGAGGGAAGCGGAAUUCCGGGUGUAGCGGUGAAAUGCGUAGAUAUCCGGAGGAACACCGGUGGCGAAGGCGGCUUCCUGGACCGACACUGACGCUGAGGCGCGAAAGCCAGGGGAGCAAACGGG